AUUGAACGCUGGCGGCAUGCCUUACACAUGCAAGUCGAACGGCAGCACGGGGCAACCUGGUGGCGAGUGGCGAACGGGUGAGUAAUGCAUCGGAACGUACCUUUCAGUGGGGGAUAACGUAGCGAAAGUUACGCUAAUACCGCAUAUUCUGUGAGCAGGAAAGCAGGGGAUCGCAAGACCUUGCGCUGAUUGAGCGGCCGAUGUCAGAUUAGCUAGUUGGUGAGGUAAAGGCUCACCAGGGCGACGAUCUGUAGCGGGUCUGAGAGGAUGAUCCGCCAAACUGGAACUGAGACACGGUCCAGACUCCUACGGGAGGCAGCAGUGGGGAAUUUUGGACAAUGGGGGCAACCCUGAUCCAGCCAUGCCGCGUGAGUGAAGAAGGCCUUCGGGUUGUAAAGCUCUUUCGGCCGGGAAGAAAUCGCACGGGCUAAUACCCUGUGUGGAUGACGGUACCGGAAUAAAAAGCACCGGCUAACUACGUGCCAGCCGCCGCCGUAACAC
rnacentral:rRNA from 1 species